rnacentral:rRNA from 1 species
UACGGAGGGGGCUAGCGUUGUUCGGAAUUACUGGGCGUAAAGCGCACGUAGGCGGCUUGUCACGUCGGGUGUGAAAGACCGGGGCUUAACCCCGGUUCUGUAUUCGAUACGGGCUGGCUAGAGUGUGGUAGGGGAGAUCGGAAUUCCUGGUGUAGCGGUGAAAUGCGCAGAUAUCAGGAGGAACACCGGUGGCGAAGGCGGAUCUCUGGGCCUUUACUGACGCUGAGGAGCGAAAGCGUGGGGAGCAAACAGG